rnacentral:miRNA from 1 species
AAAGAAAAGAUUGCUUUG